GUAGGUGGCAAGCGUUGUCCGGAAUUAUUGGGCGCAAAGCGCGCGCAGGCGGUUCUUUAAGUCUGAUGUGAAAGCCCACGGCUCAACCGUGGAGGGUCAUUGGAAACUGGAGAACUUGAGUACAGAAGAGGAAAGCGGAAUUCCACGUGUAGCGGUGAAAUGCGUAGAGAUGUGGAGGAACACCAGUGGCGAAGGCGGCUUUCUGGUCUGUAACUGACGCUGAGGCGCGAAAGCGUGGGGAGCAAACAGGGAUUAGAUACCUGGUAGUCCACGCCGUAAACGAUGAGUGCUAAGUGUUAGGGGGGUUUCCCGCCCCCUUAGUGCUGCAGCUAACGCAUUAAGCACUCCGCCUGGGGGAGUACCGGCCGCAAGGCUG
rnacentral:rRNA from 1 species